GAAGUUGUUCCUUGACAUGUAUACUUCCAUUAUGAACCUUUAGAUCAUACAAACAAUCCUUAGAAUCAAUGUUACGGAGCCUCAAAAGUGGUAGCAUGAACUGUUCUUCAAUUCUAGAAAACCCAGAAAUUGAAGAACAGCGUCUGACAGUUUUUCCAGGGCUUGGAUCUUACUUAUGUUAUGAUGUUUGGCCAUGUUUGUUAUUGAAUAGUGUAGUCUUGUUCGUAUACUACAAGAUCUGACCAAGAUCAAGCCCAGAAACCUCUUAGAUUAAAAGUAAUUCAUGGACAAUGUAGGCACCUCUAUCACUGACCGUCAGUGUUCUUGAGCCUCAAGAACACCAACAGCGACAGAAAGCGUCGCUAAAAGCUACAGCGACGGUUUUAAAUUUUUUUUAUUUUUUGAAUUUCCGAAAAAUGAUUAAAAAUAGGAAAUAAAUUCUACAAUUUACAAAAAUGGUUUUAAAAAUUAUUUUAAAUUAUGAAAAAUAACUUUUUA
rnacentral:lncRNA from 1 species